rnacentral:rRNA from 1 species
UACGUAGGGGGCUAGCGUUGUCCGGAUUUAUUGGGCGUAAAGAGCGUGUAGGCGGCCAGGUAGGUCUGCUGUGAAAACUCGAGGCUCAACCUCGAGACGUCGGCGGAAACCAUAUGGCUAGAGUCCGGAAGAGGAGAGUGGAAUUCCUGGUGUAGCGGUGAAACGCGCAGAUAUCAGGAAGAACACCAAUGGCGAAGGCAGCUCUCUGGGACGGUACUGACGCUGAGACGCGAAAGCGUGGGGAGCGAACAGG